GACCGCGUAGCUCAGUUGGCAGAGCAUUGGGCUAGUAUUCCAAAGGUCGUAGGUUCGAUUCCCACCGUGGACC